rnacentral:rRNA from 1 species
UUAAUGAGAGUUUGAUCCUGGCUCAGGACGAACGCUGGCGGCGUGCCUAAUACAUGCAAGUAGAACGCUGAAGGAGGAGCUUGCUUCUCUGGAUGAGUUGCGAACGGGUGAGUAACGCGUAGGUAACCUGCCUGGUAGCGGGGGAUAACUAUUGGAAACGAUAGCUAAUACCGCAUAAUAGUAGAUGUUGCAUGACAUUUGCUUAAAAGGUGCAAUUGCAUCACUACCAGAUGGACCUGCGUUGUAUUAGCUAGUUGGUGAGGUAACGGC